rnacentral:rRNA from 1 species
UACGUAGGAGGCAAGCGUUGUCCGGAAUUACUGGGCGUAAAGCGCGUGUAGGUGGUGGGACAAGUCUGCUGUGAAAGCGCCUGGCUUAACCGGGCGAGGUCGGCGGAAACUGUCACACUUGAGGACGGUAGAGGGGGGUGGAAUUCCCGGUGUAGUGGUGAAAUGCGUAGAGAUCGGGAGGAACACCUGUGGCGAAGGCGGCCCCCUGGGCCGGCCCUGACACUGAGACGCGAAAGCGUGGGGAGCAAACAGG